rnacentral:rRNA from 1 species
CAGUAGCCGCGGUAAUACGUAGGUGGCAAGCGUUGUCCGGAAUUAUUGGGCGUAAAGGGCUCGCAGGCGGUUUCUUAAGUCUGAUGUGAAGGCCCCCGGCUCAACCGGGGAGGGUCAUUGGAAACUGGGAAACUUGAGUGCAGAAGAGGAGAGUGGAAUUCCACGUGUAGCGGUGAAAUGCGUAGAGAUGUGGAGGAACACCAGUGGCGAAGGCGACUCUCUGGUCUGUAACUGACGCUGAGGAGCGAAAGCGUGGGGAGCGAACAGGAUUAGAUACCCCGGUAGUCCCUGUCUCUUAUAC